GGAGGCGGAGUUGCGUAUUGCGUCAUCACGCCUCCCAUGUAAUCACGCAGUACGUAGAAAACAAGGAAGAGUGCGAAAGAGCGCUGAAGAAAACAUUCAUUACACAAUUGAGGAGGCAGCGAAAGAAUAAGAAGCGAGAGAGCGGCUCACGUGAAGUGAAUGAACGGAGCCCGAGUGAUCACUUGGAUGAAUCAAACCUGUUCAAAAAAAAAAAAAGCGGAGCACCUUAUAUGAGCAGGCAGUCAGCUAAAGAA